rnacentral:rRNA from 1 species
GUGCCAGCAGCCGCGGUAAUACGUAGGGGGCAAGCGUCAUCCGGAAUUAUUGGGCGUAAAGAGUGCGUAGGCGGUUUCUUAAGCGCGGGGUGAAAGGCAGUGGCUUAACCAUUGUUAGCCUUGCGAACUGGGAGACUUGAGUGCUGGGAGAGGAAAGCGGAAUUCCUAGUGUAGCGGUGAAAUGCGUAGAUAUUAGGAGGAACACCAGUGGCGAAGGCGGCUUUCUGGACAGUAACUGACGCUGAGGCACGAAAGUGUGGGGAGCAAACAGGAUUAGAUACCCUGGUAGUCCACACCGUAAACGAUGAGCACUAGGUGUCGGGUCCGCAAGGAUUCGGUGCCGCAGUUAACGCAUUAAGUGCUCCGCCUGGGGAGUACGUACGCAAGUAUGAAACUCAAAGGAAUUGACGGGGGCCCGCACAAGCAGCGGAGCAUGUGGUUUAAUUCGAAGCAACGCGAAGAACCUUACCAGGACUUUGACAUCCUCUUGAAAGGCUGGUAACGCCGGCCCCUCUUCGGGACAAGAGAGACAGGUGGUGCAUGGUUGUCGUCAGCUCGUGUCGUGAGAUGUUGGGUUAAGUCCCGCAACGAGCGCAACCCUUGUUACUAGUUGCCAUCAUUCAGUUGGGCACUCUAGUGAGACUGCCGGGGAUAAACUCGGAGGAAGGUGGGGAUGACGUCAAAUCAUCAUGCCCCUUAUGUUCUGGGCUACACACGUGCUACAAUGGUUGGUACAAAGAGCUAGCAAGCCCGCGAGGGGGAGCAAAUCUCAAAAGCCAAUCCCAGUUCGGAUUGUAGGCUGCAACUCGCCUACAUGAAGUCGGAGUUGCUAGUAAUCGUGGAUCAGAAUGCCACGUGAAUGCGUUCCCGGGUCUUGUACACACCGCCCGU